AAAAAAAAAGAUGGGACCUAUAAUGCAGGUAUGCACAGGGCUGAGGUGGCCACCUCCCCAGGAGGGCCGUGGUGAGGGGCUUCUGUCCCUGCUGACCCACCAGGUCUGCAGGAACCAGCAGGCGUGGUCUCCUUGAGGUCCUUGGUAAGAGGAAGGCCCUCCCAGGAAUCCCAAGGGGCAUCUGCUGUGUCAAGUGCCUUCUGCUGGCUUUCAGAAGAGUCCAGCUCAUUUGAGAAGUUUCCAGAAGGUUCCAGAAGGACAGCCAGCCAAGAGAGACACGAGAAGUAAUAGGGGCCCUGUUGUCCGUCUCCACAACCAGAAGCACAGAUCUUCCAGAGCCAAGCUCGACAUGGCUUCACAAUGUGGAGUCAGAGCCACACAGAGAUUCCCACCAUGGCUCCAUCCUGCUCCCCCCAAAGAGGAAGACCCAGUCCUGUCAGCGGCCUGCUCACUGGGGAGCCUCACCUCUCCUGAGGUCAUGGAGAGUCAGACAUCUCGCCGCCCAAGCCAGUGCUCCUUAGAAGAGGCCGUGCCCGAGUGUGGCCUCAGUCAGCUGGGACCACAGUCCUCAGACUGUCCCCAGGCCCCUUUUGCUGGUCAGACAAAAUAGCCCUGCUUUAAUGUGUUAAAACUGGAGUGGUCGAGUAUAACUUUUCUUUGAAAGGAACAUUCCCAAAGUUCAUUCUUAAAAAAAGUGUGAAUCACUGAGGUGGCAUUAAUUUCUUCCAUUCUAUAAAUGGCGCUAGAAGGGAGAUAAACGGGGUGCAGCCCUGCGCAGGCCCCACUGUGCGCCUGUGGGUCACACCGUGUUCUCCAUGUACCCAGGGCUGUUGUUCCCAGAAAAUUCCCGUAAGGGAGAAGUUAUUCUUGUGUCUACAGAUGGAGACCGAGACUCAGAACGGUAAAAGAACGUGCUCGAGGUCACGCAGUUAAUAAGCAGAGCAACAGAAGCCUCUGGUGGUGUGGAUUUUUUAUUCAGAGUAACAAAAUUUACACAAAAAUAAAAUACAGCUUGUGUGGCACUGAAGCAAGCAUGGAAUUAGGAUGAGCUACGCCUUCAGUAAGGCUGUGAUCCAAGGACCCAGAAGAGCCCCCUCAGAAAAGUAAGGCACAUCUUCAUGGCAACCGUGAGGAGCAGUGUGUGUCUAGUGAGAGAGCCUGCAAGGCAGACGGGGCGCUGGGGGGCAGGUUCCCGGGGAGGCAGGAAGAGGAACCCCUGGUUCCCAGCCUGAGGUGCAUUCCAGAAUCCUCACAAGAGGCUUGAACAGGGACUGCUAAAGUUCUGCCACAGUUGGGUAAGCUCCACGACACGGUGCACGGUGUGCACACAGCACUGGGGGCUGGCAUGGGAGUCAUUACGGUGACACGCUGGCCGCCUGCAGCCAAGGGGGCCCGGAGGGAAGUCGGCCAGGAGUGUCUGAGCACGGGGCCUCUCCAGGCAGGUUCCUGUUCCGGCACAAAUGAGGACUCGUAUUUUCGUGGUCGUAAGGUACUUGAGGUGCUCAGCACGGUCAUCUUUUGACACUAUUACUGAAUUCUUAGUGUAAAAACACUAAAUUGGGAUUUGUUCAACCAGCAGCAAAUGGAAAGUCACAGUCUGUAUCUUAUAUGAAAAAACCUCAGCAGUCUCUUUAGACCCGUGGUCUGAAUAUGGAAGCUCAGCAAGAUUAAAAUGUUUUUUAAGCAAAAACUAAAGAAUAAAAAGAAAUACUGAGAGCUUUAAAUAGGUACAAACAAUUCCCCAGUAUUUCUAAGGGUUUUUUGUCAUCCUUCUCCCUCUGAAUGGUGCUGGUCCCUCCUUUAGGUGCUUCAGCUCUGAGACCAAACUAGAAUGUGAUUUUAAAGAAUCUCACCUCACUUUUGUAUCCCAGGCUUCUCUCGUAAAAAUGCUUCUCUCCUGUCCCUUUGCUUUUCAUGCAAAUUCUCUAGCAGUAAAGUGAUGGGUGCAGAGGCCAGUGGCCUCGAGAAUGCUACCCCUCAGUGGCUGGCCCCGGGGUCUCCCCAGGAUCUCCCCAGUCCACACACUUUCUACAGGGCUGUCCCCCUGUCCAUCCGCAUGCGAAGCCUCACCUGAAUGCUGUCCUGUAGGGUCCUCUGCACAGAACGGCAGUGCAUUAAAGAGAGAAUUCUCUGGAGGAAGCUACAACGCAAAGUGGCAGCCCAUGCCCUCCCCGUCAGAGGGCUCCUUGUCUUCCGGAGGCAUGGACCAGGGAAGUGACGCCCCAGCCAGGGACUUCGACGGAGAGGACUCAGAUUCCCCAAGGCACUCCACAGCUUCCAACAGCUCCAACCUAAGCAGCCCGCCCAGCCCAGUGUCACCCCGGAAGACCAAGAGCCUCUCCUUGGAGAGCACCGACCGCGGGAGCUGGGACCCAUGAGCGGCUUUGGUGCUCGGAGUGGACGCCAGAGCAGCUUCUCCCUCUCAGCCCCCUCCACUGCCCUGUCUCCACGUCCGUCCUCCGCCCCUGCCUGGAAGGCCCAGGGCCAGCGGCAGGAGCAGGGUGGGGGCUCAGGGACACGGACGAUUGCACCUGCAGCCCCAUGCCCCCCACAUCCCCUGCACCCCCUUGACUUAACAACAGCCACCAUCAAGGCAGACUUCCACUGAGCAGCUUCAAUGAAUAUCGAUUCCAUUUCAUACUUAGAGUUGCUUCCCAUCAUCGUGUCCCCCUCCCUGAAGGUAGCUCGAGUAGACCUUGCAGAUGUGCACGGGAAGAACGUCAGGCAGACUGGUUUUCCACGGCAGAGUCUCAGCACCCCGGGCAGCACAUGGGUCCCCCCACCGGCCCCCCGCCCUCCUCCAGCACCCACAGCCAGUGUCGACCUGAUCAUUGCCAGUAAAUCCUUAUUCACUAAAACAGUGCAUAUUUUACUACAAUACAGAUUUUAAAUAAGUACACAAAUGUAGAGGUUAAAUACUGAAUGUAUAUAGUAAAAAACAUCUUGUAUUCAGCAAAAGUUGGAUUCCUAUAUAAGAGAGAGAUCAUUUAAUUUAAAGAAAUGUGUUGUUUCUCGUCUGUUUUCCAGCUAAGUAAUGUAAAGGGUAGGAAGGCCUCAAGCUGACAUUCUAGACCUUGGUAGACAGCGCAAAGAGUCAGAGUUUCCUCUCUGGUCGCAGCCACGGUCCUCAGGGGCUGCAGGAAAACAUUUCGAAACCCGGUCCGACUGCUCUGGACUGCGGCCCAAGCACCAGACCCAGCCCAGGAUGCCUCUUCAGCAGCAGCGUGAACAGGCAAAUUUACUUCCAGAUCUUUUGGUAAUGGUAGAAUUCGAACCACACUCCUCAGUUUUUACUGUAUUUUGCUAUCUUCUGCAGAUGAAUGUAGAAAUGUGGUCUCGUCACCUCCUGAGUCCUUCCUUUGAAAGCACUCAAGCGAUGUCAUGGCUUCUGAAGGUCCCUAAAAAGGUUCCUAGACGUGCUUUCCUCCUGGGCUAAGCCUGUUCCUCCCUGCGUUGCCACGAGGCGUCCUUGGCCAGGGCCCCCCUCAGAGAAGCCUGAGAGUUUAAUUACCAAAUAAUAGAAAACCUCAAAUGCAAGGACUUGCACAGCCUUAACCAAAUACUCUUCCCCGCCCCCAGUGGAAAACAGAAGUGUUGGGCCCACCAGGCAGGUGCCCCGGUGGCACUGUGCUGUUCCCACCAACACCGGGAAGUGAGUACGCACCCCGGAGGGCUGGAGUCCUUCACAGUUAGUUCCUCAGUUAAGCACAUGAGCAGAGAAAGAAAUAAAAAUAUCUCAUGGAAGUAAAGAGAA